rnacentral:rRNA from 1 species
UACGUAGGGUGCGAGCGUUAAUCGGAAUUACUGGGCGUAAAGCGUGCGCAGGCGGUUCGCUGUGUCCGAUGUGAAAGCCCCGGGCUCAACCUGGGAAUGGCAUGGGAAACUGGCGGGCUGGAGUGUGGCAGAGGGGGGUGGAAUUCCGCGUGUAGCAGUGAAAUGCGUAGAUAUCGUAAGGAAGACCAGUGGCGAAGGCGAGUCUCUGGACAGCAACUGACGCUGAGGCACGAAGGCCAGGGGAGCAAACGGG